UCCUCAGGUACCGUCACACACCGACAAGUCGGUGCUAUUCUUCCCUGAUAAAAGCAGUUUACAACCCAUAGGGCAUUCUUCCUGCACGCGGGAUGGCUGGAUCAGGGUUGCCCCCAUUGUCCAAUAUUCCUUA
rnacentral:rRNA from 1 species